UUGGACAACGUUCAACUUGUCAGUUCUGUCAGCUCAUCGUCCUGAUAUCAAACAUCUGGAAACAUUAAAACCGUCAGUGAGUCAGAAUGUUUCAUUAGUUC